CCCAGGGAAACGUUGUCACUGCUUUAAAAGGUUGCAAAGUCUUUGAGGGCAGGGGUGGCACAAAAUAAAUCUUCCUGGUUGCUUGGCAAGUGGGGCUGAGCUCUGAGCAGGUCUUUAGCAUGGAGACAGGUCACCCUAACUGCACUGGCUGUGCAGGAGGGUUAAGUGAAGGGAGAGGAGUUAAUAUAAGGGUAGAGGUCAUGCUGCAGGUUUGGAAAGCUCCAAAGAAGAGCGUAUACCUGUGUGGGACAGCUCUAAGCGCUGUGAUGAUUGCCUAAAAUUAGCUGGGACUUCACAGCUUCCCCUUGCCCUUGCAAGACUAGCUUUGAACUUGAAAGCCUCCUACACGAAGUGCUCUCUGGUACCAACCUGGUCACAGCAGAGGUGAAAAAUGUGGCACUGAAGAAAGUGGCUUUCCGAUAAAUACAUCCACAGUAAAACCAUGCAUGACUCGCAAGAUCAAAGACACAGUGCAAGUACCGAGGUCAUUAAACAUGAAUAGAAAUACAGAAAUGCAACAGCUUGCAUUAAAGGCUUAGCUUGACUUUAAAGUGAAGUGAUGAAAGCUUAUGUAGUCAGUGAUUGUUCACCCCUGAUAAUGCUCUGCUUUUGCCACUGGUGCCACUGGUAGUUCUGGGCUUUACAAAGGUGAGUAGGAAUAAUUAAUCAUUUGUCGGAUAAAGCACCGAGGCAUGGGGCAAUCAAUGACCUGUACCAAGUGAAAACAGGUUCAGGGCUGCUCAGCAUCAUCAGCCCUAGGGAAAACCCAGAGAGGUGCGGACAUCAGGCCCGUCUGAAAUUCAGCCCGCGGUCGCCAGCUGUACAACUGACAGGUGAGUCAGGAUUUAAUCCACAUAGGGUCCUUUGAAUGACAUGGUGCUGGAAGUCACCAGCAUGGAAAGGGAUUUGGGGUAAGGCUUCCAUCAGCACAGCCUCAGCAUAACACGACUCUGUGCCAGCUUUUAAGGGCCCAUCUUCACUGCUGGUCUUCGGCUCCGUUCCUUGGGUUGCUGUACAUGUUACCAUACUCUGAAGCCCACCAACCCCUCAGCAUGGGAGAUGUUUCCUGGUUCGUGUCACAGCGGAGUUAAUUGUAGCAUGUGUAGUGUUUUGAGCAACUAUAAAAGAAGCUGUGUUAAAGUUGGAGACUUUAGCAGACUGCUGUCAGAAAAAAAGCCCCCUGCUAUGUUUCUAGUAAUAUUUUGAUUUGUGGCACGACUAACUAAUAAGGUUUCUGGGGUAUUCUGCUAUCACAGAAUCACCUAAUAUGCAGCCUAAAUUGGUGCAGUGCCUUGAGAUGACAUCCCCUUCUGCCAAUACGUGCGUGUCACUGUCCGAGCCUCUGCUCUGCUGGGGUGGUUUGCUGGCAACUCUGAGCAAGUGCAGGCGCUGCACUGAGAAAGGUAACUGUGUGCAACCGUGUGGGCAGGUGGCAGAGAUCCAGCCAAGCCCUGCGCAUCCUUUGCUGGGAAGGGAGGGAUGAUGCCAGCUCUGCUCUCCUCUGAGCUCAGCACAACGUGUCCUAGGGCAGUCCCGCAGCAUAUGGCAGAGCAGCCUUCUGGAGGUGUAGCUGUAUCACAUCCAGGUAGAGCCCUAGGAAAGAAUUGUUGCUGCCAGAAUAAGCCAAAAUCCUGCCCUUUUACUUAAGGCUACUGAUUUCACAUCAUUCUGGGAAGCAGCCUUGUCUCCCCUGGUGCAGACCUGGCACUGACAAAGUAAACAGAGAGCUCGUGGGCUACGCAUCCCCAGCUCAUCCUCCACUGCUGAAUAUGUGACAUUUACCCAACAUCAUAAUUUGGCUGGGGUCAAAUAUUUCAGCCCCUUUCCUAGCAAACUUUCCAAAUCUGAACAGCAGAGACAGAGGCACCCUGCGGUACUUCAAGCUUCAAGUGUUGCAAAGCAGAGCUCCCCAUAGCCAAUACUUGUUGAGAUUUCAGAUCAGUGUCAUUUUUCACGCUGGUCUGACAUGUAAGUUUAUGCUAAAACCUCCACUGACUUCAGCAUAGCAAGAUUUCUACUGGGAAUGUUUGCAAGGAACGUGUUAAAUACCUGGUGAGUGAGUGAAGAUGCCAGCAGCGAUCAAGAUUUUCCAGUGCGGCACAGCUCAUGGAGCAACUGCAAUUCUUCACCACAGAUAUGCAAAAGCAAGCGUGCUGUGACCUCUGAGCCAGACAGUGGAAAGUCUCCAGGGGAGAUGAUGAUGGUAUUUCCCGUGAUACUGAGUACUCCCGUUGCCCAGAAGACAGAAAACUAUCAUAUAUAUGUCCUGUACAGGAGGGGUACCGAGAGGACUCGAUCUACAUCUACCACUGGCAAGUGGAGGAGGUGAGAGCCCUGCAGUUGACCAAGCCCCCAAGGACUUUUUGUUUUGGUCAGAGGGGCUGGGGAUGGGUUCAGAGCAUCUGAGUUUUUGCAGAUGAGCUCAGCACUUGCACAACAGGCUGCAAUAGCUUCCCAUGUGGAUGUGGGAAGUCAUUGUUAACACCCAGCUCCUGCUGAGUCUCAUCCAUUAGCACUUUGAGCCAGACCAGCAGCACUCGUGUUUUGGUGGGCAGCUGAGGACACGGAGGCUCACAGCCGCUCCUCAGAGGUCCUAGCAGCAUCAGGGAGGGCUCCCCAUGCUCAGUCCAUUCUCCUUCACUUUAUUUCUCUACUGCUGUUACUAAGAGCAGGUUUGCAGUCCCUCUGACACCCCUUCUCCAAUCUUGGCCAAAGCAGUUAAUCUCUGACCCACUUUCCCCACAUCCAGAUGCUGUGAGAACGUGUCGGUGCUGUGCUUUGGAAAUGCUAGCUUUUUCCACAACUUCCUUAUCUCUUCUCAGAUUCCAGAAGGAAUACUUAGCUUCUGGUGUCCCUCCAGCCCUCCCUGGCUUGGCAUGCUCUCUUGGUGCACGCUCAGCCAGCAGGCUAAACUAGCAGCGUUUGCUGGUGUGCCUGCGCUGAGCACUGUUUCAUUUCCCACCAUCUAUCUGUCCUUGGUGUUUAAUUUCACAUUUUCUGGAGUACAGCUCUGUUGUACAACAGCCACCCAAGCCUUGAAUUAAAGCUACUGGAGUUCCUUCUUGUUUGUACUAGCGUAGCCAGGAUCACGACCUGCCUUAUGUUAAAAGUACCUAAAAUACCAAAUUAUCCUCAAACAGCACCAAUUUUGCCCUCAGAGUAAAUCAGAAGGCCUGAGACAGCCCAGAAUCCUCCCUGCCAGCAGAAGGUAUGGUAGAGAUACCCAUCCUAAACUUCUUGGCAACCUGUCACUGCAACAAGGCCAACUCUGGUUGCCCCCGAUGGUGACAGCAAAGCAUCCAUUCUUUUCAGCAGGUAAGGACCAGGCUCACCCCCCUGCGAGGGCACUGCCGAGGUGGGAGCCUCUAAAAACAGAGGCAGACACUCAAUUCAGCAGCGUGGCUUCAGCUCCCCGAGUCUAAAUACCCCCAGCAGGUCACCCAACGGCGACUUGUCAUCCCGCAUCUAGGACUGACUGUACAACUUGUGCCUAAUCUUUCUAGAAGUGAAAAUCAUGCAGCUUCUAAGGAUGUUUUAAAAUAACUAUUCUCCCAUCUCUGUGGUUUAAAUAGAAUCAUAACCAUACUACUUAUAGCUCGAAUGCCAAAACAUCUGACACUUUUAAUAGACUAAGAGGAAAAAAAACGUGGACUGUUUCCUAAUCCUGCUGGUACCAGAAGG